rnacentral:rRNA from 11 species
CAUGGACCCGGUGAAAUUGAAUUCUCCGUGAAGAUGCGGAGUACCCGCGGUUAGACGGAAAGACCCCGUGCACCUUUACUGCAGCUUCAGAGUGGCAUUGGACAAGAACUGUGUAGCAUAGGUGGGAGGCUUUGAAGCAUUGGCGCCAGCCGAUGUGGAGCCAUAGGUGAAAUACCACCCUGUUGUUUUCUGAUGUCUAAC